rnacentral:rRNA from 1 species
AGAUUGAACGCUGGCGGCAGGCCUAACACAUGCAAGUCGAGCGGUAGAGAGGUGCUUGCAUCUCUUGAGAGCGGCGGACGGGUGAGUAAUGCCUAGGAAUCUGCCUAGUGGUGGGGGAUAACGUUCGGAAACGGACGCUAAUACCGCAUACGUCCUACGGGAGAAAGCGGGGGACCUUCGGGCCUCGCGCCAUUAGAUGAGCCUAGGUCGGAUUAGCUAGUUGGUGAGGUAAUGGCUCACCAAGGCGACGAUCCGUAACUGGUCUGAGAGGAUGAUCAGUCACACUGGAACUGAGACACGGUCCAGACUCCUACGGGAGGCAGCAGUGGGGAAUAGUUGGACAAUGGGCGAAAAGCCUAGAUCCAGCCAUGCCGCGUGUGUGAAGAAGGUCUCGGAUUGAAAGCACUUUAAGUGGAGGAAGGUUGUAACUUAAUACGUUGACAACUUUGACGUUAACCGACAGAAAUAAGACACCGGCUAACUUCGUGCCAGCAGCCGACG